UAUUGAUCCAUUUGGAGCUGCAAAGGGUCAGAGAUGAGAAUCAAGUUUCCUUUUAUAUGGAGACGAACAGUGUUUGCUAAAAGUGCUAUCUUUCCUCUAGUGUUUAUUAUUGGCUUCUUUCAAGUUCAGGUGGCUACGGAGGUGUGGAUUUAAAUGUGGGUCCUCAGGUCUAUCCACUGAUCAGUGAGCCACUUGCUAUGCCAGUACCAUGCUGUUUUCAUUGCUAGAACUCUGUAGUGGAAUAACAUCUGGAUGGUGAUACUGCCUCUGCUUUUUUGUUGGUCAGGAUUUUGGCUAUCCUGUUGGUUUUUGUUUUUGUUUUCCCCUAUGAAAUUUAAUGUUUUUUCAACUUCUGUGAAGAAUUGGGUUCAAAUUUUGAUGGGGCUGUGUUGAAUUUUUAAAAUUGUGGUAGACUAGACAUUUUCACAAUAUUAAACCUGCCAAUCCAUAAAAAUAGGAGGGCCUUCUUCCAUUUUUAUGUCUUCAUUGUCUUUGUAUUCAUUUUUAUAAGUCUUUCAUGUCUUUGGUUAGAUUUCUUCUAAAACACACACAACAUACACACACUCUUAGAAUAUACACACACAGAGGUAAUUGUAAAUGACAUUAUUUUCUUGAAUUCUUUCUCAUUAGGUUUGUCAUUUGUAUAUACAAAGGCCAUGGAAUUUUUGUGUUAAUUUUAUACCCUGCUACUUUGCUGAAUGCAGUUGUUAGCUGUAGGAAUUUUCUGUUACAGUCUUUAUGAUCUUUUUCAUAUAGAAUCGUACUAUCUGCAAAUAAAGAUAUUUGUGCUUCCUUCUUUCCCACUUCUAUCCUGUUGUCUCCUUCACUUGUCUUACUCUUCCAGGCCAGUAUUGUGUUAAACAGGAGUGGGGAGAGUGGACAUCGUUGUCUUAGUCCUGAUUUUUAUUGGAAAUGCUUUGAGUUUUUCUCCAUUUAGGAUGAUGUUGGCUGUAUGCUCCUUGUACAUUGCCUUUAUUAUGUCGAGACAUCCCCUGUAUCCCUAUUCUCUCUAGGACUCUUAUCAUAAAAGGAUGUUGGAUUUUGUCAAAGGCCUUUUUCUACAACUAAUGAGAUGAUCAUGUGGUUUUAAUCUUAUUUAUGUGGUGGAUUAUUUUUGUUGAUUUCUAUGUGUUGAAUCAUCUAUUAUCUAUGUAGCUCAUCUACCAUCUAUGUAAAUUCUGCUUUCAAGUAUUUUGAGGAUUUUUGUGUCUAUGGUCAUUAAAAAUAAUUGACCUGCAAUUUUCUUUUGUUUAUUUGGUUAUGGUUAUCAGAGUAAUACUGGCUUUGUAAAAGGAAUUUGUAAGUCUUCCUUCCUUUUCUAUUUUGUGGAAUAGCUUGAGAGGUAUUUAGUGUUAGUUCUACAUUGAAGAUCUAGUAGAAUUCUGCACUGAAUCCACAAGACCUCUGCCACUUGCCUAAGAAACACAUGUCUGGUCUGCCUUUAUGUUCCCCAUCCUGUACACCCUCUUCAGGUAAGGAGUCCUAACUAAAGCUGGUAACCCCUUUACUUCUGCCCAAGCAUGCUUGCCCCAUCCCUAGCAAGAAAGCUACACUCCCCACUUCAGUUUGAAUGAGAAUGAUUCCCGUGGGUUAAGUGGAUCUGCUUGGGAAGGAUAAGGAGGUGUGGCUCUGAUGGAAGAGGUUUGUCAUUGGGGCUUGUCUUUGAGGUCUCAAAGGACCCAUGCCAUUCCUAGUCUUUUCUUCCUUGUUUCCUUGUAUUUGUGGAUCAAGAUGUAAGCUCUCAGCUCUCCACCCUAAGCCCUGAAUUAAAUGUUUUAUUUUAUAAGUUGCCUUGAUUAUGGUGCUUUAUAUCGUAGAAUUGGCAGAGUAACAAAGAUACCACCCAUUCCUGCUGUGCAGAUAACCACACUUCCUCUGCCAACUUCACUGAUCCUCUGCAAGGAUUCCCCCUCCCCUGCUGCCCUUUUUCAGGAAGGGUGACUAAUCCCAUACCAGUAAAUACUCCCACUCCUGCAGUCUGCCUAAGGUGAUGUGUUGUACCCUCCUUCUAGUGCCCCUUUUCAAAAACCAAAAAACCCCUUAGGGAUUCCAGACUCAUAUAGCAUCAAUCCUGCCAUCAGAGCCACACCUCCUUAUCCUUCCCAAGAAUUAUAAUAAAAUAAAAGCUCUAGGAUUGACCUGGAUUAGUAAGGCCUGGAUCAUAUUGAUAAAUGCUCUUUAACUUUACUGUGUGGCCAUCUUCAUAGCUAUAUGAAUGACAUAUGUUUUAAAACGAACUAGCUUGUACUAGAAUAACAACUUCCAAAUCCCAGAAACUACAUAACUAACUGAAAGUUUAUUUUGUACUUAUGUAGUUUGCUUUAAGUGCAUGAGACUGUAGGGUAAUUCAGGAAUCCAGACUGUUUCCAUAUUGGUCUCAUCCCAAGGCUUGUACAGUUGCUUUAGCAGGCAUCAAGAGAACAAGCUUCAGAUGGUAAAUAGAUCAGCGCUCAUGGCCCAUUUUAUAGAAUUGGCCAUGUCAUCCUGAUGAGCU
rnacentral:lncRNA from 1 species